rnacentral:rRNA from 2 species
CGAACGGGUGAGUAACGCAUCGGAAUGUACCGUGUAAUGGGGGAUAGCUCGGCGAAAGCCGGAUUAAUACCGCAUACGCCCUGAGGGGGAAAGUGGGGGACCGUAAGGCCUCACGUUAUACGAGCAGCCGAUGUCUGAUUAGCUAGUUGGUGAGGUAAGAGCUCACCAAGGCGACGAUCAGUAGCGGGUCUGAGAGGAUGAUCCGCCACACUGGGACUGAGACACGGCCCAGACUCCUACGGGAGGCAGCAGUGGGGAAUUUUGGACAAUGGGCGCAAGCCUGAUCCAGCCAUGCCGCGUGUCUGAAGAAGGCCUUCGGGUUGUAAAGGACUUUUGUUCGGGAGGAAAUCCCGCUGGUUAAUACCUGGCGGGGAUGACAGUAC